GACGAACGCUGGCGGCGUGCUUAACACAUGCAAGUCGAACGGAAAGGCCCUGCUCUUGUGGGGUGCGCGAGUGGCGAACGGGGGAGUAACACGUGAGUUACCUGCCAUUGACUGUGGGAUAACUUCAUGAAACUGGGGCUCAUACCGGAUAGGAGCUCCUGCUGCAUGGUGGGGGUGGGAAAGUUUCGGCGGUUGGGGGUGGAAUCGCGGCGUAUCAGCUUGUUGGUGUGGUAGUGGCUUACCAAGGCUAUGACGGGUAGCCGGCCUGGGCGGGUGAGCGGCCCAAUCAGGACGGGGCUGCGGCACAGCCCACACCGGGACGGAGCAGAGCAGAAGAGUGUAUAAUGGGCGGAAGCCUGGUGCAACAACGCCGUGUGGGGGAUGACGGGCAUCGGGUUGUAUACUACUUUCCUCUUUGCCGAAGCGUGAGUGACGGUAAUGGAUAAAGAAGCCCCGGCUAACUACGUG
rnacentral:rRNA from 1 species